CCGUGGCAAUGACGGUUAACGGGGGAUUAGGGUUCGAUUCCGGAGAGGGAGCCUGCGAAACGGCUACCACAUCUAAGGAAGGCAGCAGGCGCGCAAAUUACCCAAUUCUAACAGCAUAAGAGAGGUAGUGACAAGAAAUAACAAUACAAGGUAAUUAAAUUGCUUUGUAAUUGGAAUGAUAGAAAUUUAAACACUUUUUAAAGUAUCAAUUGGAGGGCAAGUCUGGUGCCAGCAGCCGCGGUAAUUCCAGCUCCAAUAGCGUAUAUUAAAAUUGUUGCAGUUAAAAAGCUCGUAGUUGAAUUUCUGUUAAAAAUAACCGGUCUGCUUUUAUUAAAAGUGGUAUCUUGGUGUGUUUUUAGCAAUAAUGUCCUUUGAAAUGUUUUUUACUUUAUUGUAAUAAGUCAUUAUUUUGAGGAUUUUUACUUUGAGAAAAUUAGAGUGUUUCUAGCAGGCUUACGCUUUUGAAUACUGCAGCAUGGAAUAAUAAGAUAGGAUUUUAGUUCUACAUUAUUGGUUUUAAGAACUAAAUUAAUGAUUGAUAGGGAUAGUU
rnacentral:rRNA from 1 species